CUACCACUGACCUGAAUCGAAGAAUAUUGGCAAUGCCUUAAGUAUCACCCAGAACUCCAUGAGGCCAUAACAAGGUUUUACACAAUUCCAAUGCACUGUUAUUUUCAGCUGUGCUUAAAACUAACACUUACAGAGAUAAUUCAUGGCGAUUUCGCAUCUAGCUUCUGAAGUUUUACCUAAACUCUCCAGCUAUAUGCAUAGCAAAGUAAAAAAAACAACAAACCAGAGACAGUCUAACAUACAUUUGAGUAAGAGCGCAUUUUAAUUUUUGUAUAGUUUAAAACAGCCCCCAAAAAGUUAGCUAUAUAAUAUCAAUACAAAGUAAAUGCAUAUUGUUUACAGCCAACUACAUAUAUGCAAGAAUAAUAGCAAACCUCACAUGAACAAGAAAGAAUUUUCAAUCCAUCACUUGUGAGUGUUUAGCUAUGACUCCUGGGGUAUAAAAUAAACUAUGUUCACAUAUGCAGGGAAGGCAGAUGCUUAUAAAUAGAACAAUCAAAACCUUGCAUGACUUUAGUUCUAAAAGAGACAGGUAAUAAAAAGGAAGAAAAGGAGUUGGAAAUUAAUACAUUUACGUAGUUACACUUCAGUGUUCCAUUUCCAGAAUAAAAAAUAGCUUGCAAGAAAGCAAUGACUUGAAAGUGUGUCUCCAAUCUGUACUCUCUGGAAGCAGGGAUUUUGUUUUAAAUGCCAAGUCUGAGGAAUGUUACAUUUGUAAUUAUGACCAGCCAAAACAAAGGCAGUAAAAAAAAAAAAACCCCAACAUUUCUGAAUUGAAAGGAAAUGUGUGGAGUGUUUAUGUAAACAGGGAAUUAGGUAUAUACAAUGCUAAUAGACCAAUGGACAGACUAAUGCUACAACUGUUUAUGAUACAAAGGAAAUUAAAACCUUCAUGAAUUACUAGUGUAAACCUACUUAAGAACAAGUAUGCAGUAUCAAAAAAAAAAAAAAGAUUAGAAAAGAACUGAACUAAACAUCUUGCAGUCAGUUUAAGGUUAGGCAUAAUUUUCUACAACAAAAA